AAAAAAAACAUUUUGACUGUCUGCAACUUUCACACAGGAUCAAAAUCAUCCUGAUUCCUCCACUUCCCAAACCAGCUCUGAACUCUCCUGAUGUCGAGGAUUGGUUUCAUUUCUCUAAAGGCCUUGUUAAAGAGAGGUUUAACACCAACUUCAAUGAGCGUGCCUGCACCGUGCGCGAGUACCAGCCGGUCUCUCGGUCCGACAGCAAUGGCUCUGACUGCUCUCGCCUCACCACCGCCACGGAUCAAACCGACUGCUCUAUCCCCAUCGCAGAGAACGAACCGGAGGACACGUCUGCUCCUUUUUACACCACCGUAAUUGCUUCGGAAGAUGAGCAGCAGGUUUCUGUGUAAAUGUCACCUCAGGCAAAUUUACAUGUCUCAAAGUGGAAAAAAAAAAAAUCCUUUUUACUUUGCGAAAGAUCUCCAGGAUUACUGGAGGAAUAUGUGUAGGAUGUCUUUUAGGAAAAUGGAUGGAGAUAAGAACAUUGAAAACGAUUAGAAAUCAAUAAAUGAAAUGGGAAUCAAAAUCCUAUACUCCUUGCUCAAUAUUUCAGGGAUUUGUUGCUCACCUUCAAUUCUAUUAACUUUGGUUUUUAUAAUUGAGUUUUUCAAUACUUUUUAUAUAUCAUAAAGUUAGCUAGACCACACUGUUAAGCGUAUUAUUGCUUAAUUUUCUGUCUUGCAUACAUAUUUUUUCCAUGCAGGGUAUAUCAAGUAUCUGAAUUUUCAACAUUUUUUGUUUUGAAAUACUUAAUAGUUAUUAACGUUGAUCUGUAUGCAGGACUUCAGUAGCUUUGUAUAAUCUUUUUACAUACAAGUGCUUUUAUAUAUUUUUAUCAAGUUACCUUUAUUGAUCUGUGGAUUUUAAAACCAUGUAAUUUUUUAGGAGUCCAUAGCUGACCUGCAGAUUUUACAGGUUUUAUAACAGAUAAAAAUGUCUGUAAUUGAUUAUUCACCAGUAUUAUUUUACAUAAAAGUUUGUAGCUGUUAGAAACUGACAGGCUUGCAGAUCUCAUACAUUCAUGCUAGGUGCCAUCAUUGUUAUACAAUUGAAACUGUAUUGCUAUCACUUCAAAUUUUAUUCCAGAGGUUUCUGUUUCAAUGUCAUGUAAUCUUUUGACUUGUAUGUUUAAUAUCAAGAGUAAAGUUUGGUUUUUGAUUAUGAUUAUUCUUCAUUCCCCUUUAUUGCAAGAUAACAAUAACGCCAUGUAUGGUCUAUAUUAAUGAUUGAAGCAGAAAGCGACAAUGGAGCUGUGUAAAUCAAGACAUAUUCAGGUCCAAGUACAGAUCUAAAUCUAUUUGAGAAUCUUUAGCAAUGCUAAAACAAAAACAAAGGUUUUGCAACAGUAUUCUUUUGGAAAGAUUUUGACAUUAUUUGCUUUUACCCAUCGUUACCUGCUUCUUGUCUAAAUCCUUGGUAAUGACAAAGUUUUCUACAGUCUAUUGAUCAGGACUAAUUGGCACUAAAUUGUAACAGGUUAGUUUUCUAACCAUAUAGAUUUUAAAUGUUUUCUUAGUUUUCUAUGCUUUUUUGCACCUCUUUUUCUUCGUGUGACUAAUGCUUAUUCCCUGUUAUUUUCUUUGAUUUCUUCGCAUGUAUAUUAGGUAAUCAUUUUGGAAAAGUUUUACUAAGAAAUUUGUCAAAUUCUUAUUUCACAAGUUGAACAAUUGUCCAUGUCAAUCCAAUGUUCCAGUGUACAGAUAACCAAACACCUCUUCUGUAUUAGUCACAGCAUUAUUCUAAACUUGGUGUAAUUCAUCACAUAAAACAUACAAAAUAAAAAGUACAUGUCUACAGU